AACGAACGCUGGCGGCAUGCCUAACACAUGCAAGUCGAACGAGACCUUCGGGUCUAGUGGCGCACGGGUGCGUAACGCGUGGGAACCUGCCUUUAGGUUCGGAAUAACUCAGAGAAAUUUGAGCUAAUACCGGAUGAUGUCUUCGGACCAAAGAUUUAUCGCCUUUAGAUGGGCCCGCGUUGGAUUAGCUAGUUGGUGGGGUAAAGGCCUACCAAGGCGACGAUCCAUAGCUGGUCUGAGAGGAUGAUCAGCCACACUGGGACUGAGACACGGCCCAGACUCCUACGGGAGGCAGCAGUGGGGAAUAUUGGACAAUGGGCGAAAGCCUGAUGCAGCAAUGCCGCGUGAGUGAUGAAGGCCUUAGGGUUGUAAAGCUCUUUUACCCGAGAUGAUAAUGACAGUAUCGGGAGAAUAAGCUCCGGCUAACUCCGUG
rnacentral:rRNA from 1 species